AUGGCGGCGCCUGCUGCUCUUGACGUUAGCCUCGAGAGGGUAGCUACGGCACCGGCCGUUCCACCACCCGGCAUCGGCGUCGACAGUGCCACCGCGGAGGCGGAGUUCCUCUGGGAGCUGCGCAAGUACGUGCUGCUCCUCGCCACGCUCGCGGCCUCCGUCACCUACUCCGCGGGGCUGAGUCCGCCAGGCGGGUUCUGGCCCGACAACGACGCCGACAGAGGCGCGCGUCUCGCCGGCGACCCGGUGCUCCUCGUCACCUACCCGCGCCGAUACAAGGCCUUCUUCUACUGCAACGCCACCGCCUUCGUCGCCUCCCUCGUCAUCGUCAACCUCCUGCUCGUCCGCUCGCUCGGCCACCGCCGGCGGUGGCUGCGCGCGCUCCAGGCCGCCAUGCUGCUCGACCAGUUCGGUCUCAUGGGGGCCUACGCCGCGGGCAGCUGCAGGGACGCGGCCAUGUCCGCCUACGUCUUCGUUCUCGUCGCCUUGGUUGCCUGCUACGUCUCCGCCCACGUCCUCGUCUUCGUGCUCUUCGCCCCGACAGCGCGCGGCGACAAGGUCACGCCGGCCGACAGAGUGGAGCGCGCGCGCAAGUACCUGCUCAUCUUCGCGACGCUGGCGGCGACCAUCACGUACCAGGCCGGUGUCAGCACGCCGGGCGGGUUCUGGCCGGGCAGCCAGGACAGCGACCACCUGGCCGGCGACCCCAUGCUCCGCGUCCAGCACCCGUCCCGCUUCAUGGUCUUCUUCUACUCCAACACCACCGCGUUCGUCGCGUCGCUGGUCGUCGUCAUGCUGCUCAUGAGCAACACCGUGACGCAGCACGGGUUCCGGUCAUGCGCACUCUGGGUGUGCACGGGCGCGGCCAUGGUGGGGCUCAUGGGCGCCUUCGCCUCCGGGAGCUGCCGGAGCCUCAAGACCUCCAUGUACCUCAACAAAUUUGAGAGAUUGGACUUGGAGCAGCAAAAUCAGCAGCAAAGCAGAGCAUCCGAGCACGGCAAUGACGACGCGUACCAGAUUCUGAGGAAGUCGCGGAUGUAUCUGCUGCUCCUCGGGAUUCUUGCGGCGAGCGUGACAUACCAAGCCGGACUGAACCCACCGGGCGGCUUCUGGCAAGGCGAUGCAGCCGCCGACAGUCGCCACCACUACCUCGCCGGCGACCCGAUCCUCCACAUCACGUAUCCCCGGCGAUACCUGGCCUUCUUCUACUGCAACGCCACCGCCUUCGUCGCGUCGCUCGUCAUCCUCAUACUCCUGCUGAGCAACAUACUCAGCACCCAGGGGAUCAAGUACUGCGCGUUGCAGGUCGCCAUGAUCCUGGACCUGUUUGGCCUGAUCGGCGCCUACGCCGCCGGGAGCUGCCGGCAAGUGUCCAAAUCCGUGUACGUCUCGCUGCUCGUCGUUCCUGUGUUCCUCUACGUCGGCAUCCAUGUCGUGGUCUUCAUGUUAGAAGUGUGGCCGGCUCGCCCGGCAUGGAUCCAAGCGUUGAGUGAGAAGAUGGAGCAGUGCGCCCCCAGCUGGCUCAAGGAGCUGUUCGAGCACCCCGAGCAGGGGGAGGAGGAGGCGGCGGACGUCGAACGGACACUGGAGAAGAGGCGGAAGCUUCUGCUGCUUCUUGCGAUCCUUGCGGCGAGCCUCACCUACCAAGCCGGCAUGGGCCCGCCGGGCGGCUUCUGGCAAGAGAGCAAGCUCGGCCAUGUCGCCGGCGACCCGGUGCUCAACGACAACUACCCGCGCCGCUACGUGGCCUUCUUCUACUGCAACGCGACGGCCUUCGUCGCGUCCCUUGCCGUCAUCAUGCUGCUGGUGAACAGGAAGCUCUCGGCGAGAGGGAUACGGUCUCACGCACUGCGGGUGUGCGUGAUCCUCGACCUCGUCGGCCUCAUGGGCGCCUUCGCCGCCGGGAGCUGCCGGAAGGUGUCGACCUCGAUCUACGUCCUCGUUCUGACAUUCGCAGUUCUGCUCUGCAUCGCUCUCCAGGUCACGCUGGUCUUGUCGGAGACGGCGCAAGGUCUUGCCAAGAGGCUCCUGUCAAAGCUCGGCGCGGGCGAAGACCAAGCCGGAGGCGACGGGCGGCAUGGCACGGGCGUCGCCGCCGGAGGGGCGCGUGAUCUCUGGGACGAGAAGCUGCCCAAAUACCUGCUGCUGCUCGCCGCGCUCGCCGCCGCCGUCACGUACCAGGCCGCGAUGAGCCCGCCGGGCGGCCUCUGGGGCGACACCACCGGCCACACCGCCGGCGAUCCGGUUCUCACGAGCAACUACCCGCGCCGGUACAAGGCCUUCUUCUACUGCAACGCCACGUCCUUCAUGGCGUCCCUGGUGAUCAUGGUCCUCCUGCUGAUCAAGAGGGUGAGCGACACCCCGCCGGCGCUCUUGGCGCUGCACGCCGCCAUGAUCCUGGACCUGUUUGGCCUCAUGGGUGCGUACGCCGCUGGGAGCUGCAGGAGGGUGAGGACGUCGGCCUACAUCCUGGCGCUGGUCGUCGGGGUCUCGGCGUACAUUGCUGUGCUCGUCGUGGCAUCCAUCGGCAUAGCGGGGCGACUGAGAAGCGCAAUGGACUGGCUGACGGAGCAAGUGACGCGGUGCUUCUCCGUGCAUGAUAUGUAG
rnacentral:rRNA from 1 species